GGUGAAUGUUGGUUCAGGGUACACUACAUUGCCCGGUAUGAGACCUGGGACCUAAAGGGAGUAGUAGCCCAAUCCUGCUCUCAAGUGGGGUGGUCAGCCUAUGCCCACUAACCCAUGCUGCCUUUGUGGUGGUGUGUUAAAUGACAGUGUCCCCGCAUAGCUACCCCACCAGCUACAGUCUCUAGUACAGUCCAGACCCAGGUUCUCCCGCAUCUGAGAGCUGUCGGUGACACGGUCAGUGGCUCGGGAUCUGCUCGUGGACGGG